GGGGAAUUUUGGACAAUGGGCGCAAGCCUGAUCCAGCAAUGCCGCGUGAGUGAAGAAGGCCUUCGGGUUGUAAAGCUCUUUCAGUUGAGAAGAAAAAAUUGUAACUAAUAAUUACAGUUCAUGACGGUAUCAACAGAAGAAGCACCGGCUAACUACGUGCCAGCAGCCGCGGUAAUACGUAGGGUGCAAGCGUUAAUCGGAAUUACUGGGCGUAAAGGGUGCGCAGGCGGUUCUGUAAGUCAGAUGUGAAAUCCCCGGGCUUAACCUGGGAACUGCGUUUGAAACUACAGGACUAGAGUGUGGCAGAGGGGGGUGGAAUUCCAUGUGUAGCAGUGAAAUGCGUAGAGAUAUGGAAGAACAUCGAUGGCGAAGGCAGCCCCCUGGGUUAACACUGACGCUCAUGCACGAAAGCGUGGGGAGCAAAC
rnacentral:rRNA from 1 species